rnacentral:rRNA from 1 species
CCUACGGGUGGCUGCAGUGGGGAAUAUUGCACAAUGGGCGCAAGGCUGAUGCAGCCAUGCCGCGUGUGUGAAGAAGGCCUUCGGGUUGUAAAGCACUUUCAGCGGGGAGGAAGGCGUUAAGGUUAAUAACCUUGGCGAUUGACGUUACCCGCAGAAGAAGCACCGGCUAACUCCGUGCCAGCAGCCGCGGUAAUACGGAGGGUGCAAGCGUGUAAUCGGAAUUACUGGGCGUAAAGCGCACGCAGGCGGUCUGUCAAGUCGGAUGUGAAAUCCCCGGGCUCAACCUGGGAACUGCAUUCGAAACUGGCAGGCUAGAGCCGUGUAGAGGGGGGUAGAAUUCCAGGUGUAGCGGUGAAAUGCGUAGAGAUCUGGAGGAAUACCGGUGGCGAAGGCGGCCCCCUGGACAAAGACUGACGCUCAGGUGCGAAAGCGUGGGGAGCAAACAGGAUUAGAUACCCCUGUAGUC